GGUGAACGCUGGCGGCGUGCCUAAUACAUGCAAGUCGAGCGAACGGACGAGAAGCUUGCUUCUCUGAUGUUAGCGGCGGACGGGUGAGUAACACGUGGAUAACCUACCUAUAAGACUGGGAUAACUUCGGGAAACCGGAGCUAAUACCGGAUAAUAUUUUGAACCGCAUGGUUCAAAAGUGAAAGACGGUCUUGCUGUCACUUAUAGAUGGAUCCGCGCUGCAUUAGCUAGUUGGUAAGGUAACGGCUUACCAAGGCAACGAUGCAUAGCCGACCUGAGAGGGUGAUCGGCCACACGGGAACUGAGACACGGUCCAGACUCCUACGGGAGGCAGCAGUAGGGAAUCUUCCGCAAUGGGCGAAAGCCUGACGGAGCAACGCCGCGUGAGUGAUGAAGGUCUUCGGAUCGUAAAACUCUGUUAUUAGGGAAGAACAUAUGUGUAAGUAACUGUGCACAUCUUGACGGUACCUAAUCAGAAAGCCACGGCUAACUACGUG
rnacentral:rRNA from 1 species